rnacentral:tRNA from 1 species
UCGUCCGUAGCUCAGAAGGUAGAGCAGCCGAUUUUUAAUCAGCCCGUCGCGGGUUCGAGUCCCGCCGGACGAUCCA